CAGAGUUAGGGUCUUUGGCCCGACCUCCCAACCCUAUGUUUACUUAAACCAGUGUUGCUUCGGCGGGCCCGUCUCUAGACCGCCGGGGGACCGUAAAACGUCCUCUGGCCCGCGCCCGCCGGUAGCCUUACCAUAAACUUUUGAAUUAAUCUUGUUAUUGUCUGAGUUAAACAUUUAAUAAAAGCA
rnacentral:misc_RNA from 1 species